AUGGCGCCGCAGCACUUCCUGGUCGUCGCGUUCCCGGGCCAGGGCCACAUCAACCCGGCGCGCGCUCUGGCGGAGCGCCUCGCGCGGGCCGCACCGGGCGCGCGGGUCACGCUCUCGGCUGCCGUGUCCGCGCACCGUCGCAUGUUCCCCUCGCUCGCGUCCCCCGACGAAGAGGUCCACGACGGUGCUAUCUCCUACAUCCCCUACUCGGACGGCUACGACCACGGCUUCAGCCUCUUGGCUGGCGACGGGGACGAAGUGCAGAGAUACGCGGAGGUGUUCGGCCGCGUAGGCCGCGAGACCUUCUCGGCGGUGCUGGACCGCCUCGCGGCGCGGGGCCGGCCCGUCACGUGCGUCCUGUACGCCAUGCUCAUGUGGUGGGCCGCCGAGGUCGCCCGUGAGCGCGGCGUGCCCCGGGCGCUCUACUGGAUCCAGCCGGCCACGAUGCUGGCCGUGUACUAUCACUACUUCCAUGGGUACGAGAGGCUCGUGACGGAGCAUGCUGCCGAGCCGGGGUUCACGGUGUCUAUGCCGGGCCUCCCGCCGAUGGCGAUCCGUGACCUCCCGAGCUUCUUCACCAACCUUACGGACGGCAGGAUAGUCGCGGCGUUCGGGGACAUCCGCAGGACGUUCCACCAGCUGGACCUGGACGUCGACAGUAGCAGCAGCACUGAAGGAAGGCAAGCCAUGGUGCUAGUGAACACCGUGGAAGAAUUAGAGGCCGGUGCUCUCACAUCUGUCCCUGAGUUGGACGUGUUCCCCGUCGGGCCAGCCGUGGUGUCGCUCUUCACCGAGGGCGGCGGCGGCACUGCCACCGCAGUAGGAGAUCUCUUUGAACACGACGAGAAAGGCUACAUGGAGUGGCUGGACACACAGCCAGCACGGUCGGUGGUGUACGUGUCGUUCGGGAGCAUGUCGGCGGUGAGCAAGCGACAGAAGGACGAGCUGAAGCGAGGCCUCGCCGCGAGCGGCCGCCCGUACCUGUGGGUGGUGCGAAAGAACAACAGAGACGAUGGCUUCGACGACGUCGGCGACAUGCGGGGCAUGGUGGUUGGGUGGUGCGACCAGGUGCAGGUGCUGUCGCAUCCGGCCGUCGGGUGCUUCGUGACACACUGCGGCUGGAACUCGACGCUGGAGAGCGUGGCGUGCGGCGCGUCGGUGGUCGCCGUGCCGCAGUGGUCCGACCAGGACACGAACGCGCGCCUGGUCGUCCAGUGGGGCAUCGGCGUGCGCGCCGCGACCGACGCUGAUAGGGUUCUGGAAGCGGAUGAGCUGGCGAGGUGCAUGGAGAUCAUCAUGGGUGACACGGAGGAGGGCGCAGCCAUACGGGCGAGCUCGGCGGCGUGGAAGGCGAAGUUGCAGGAAGCGAUCGCAGACGGCGGCUCAUCCGGACAUAAUCUGGGGACUUUCCUGGACCAAUUUGCGAAUGAUGCUUAG
rnacentral:rRNA from 1 species